CCUCCGCGGACAGCCACGUGAGUCAGCCAUUUCAGAAGAGGAUUCUUGAGCCCCGGUCGAGCUGUGAGAUUUCUGCAGCCCCAGCCAGUAUAACCCCCUGAGAGAAGCAGAGCCAGACCACUCAGCUGAGCCUCUCCCGAAUUCCUGAGCCCCCAAAACUCAUCAAGUCUUUGAUUUUGCUACUAGCAAAAUGGUCUGGAUUAUCAUACCUAAAACCGUGUAGCUAAAGCCUAGAUACUGCUGGCAAGGCAAACUAUGGUCAUCCAGGGAUUUUUGCCUUAUUUCAGUCAUUAAGACAAUGGUUACUCCAUCAGCCUGGAUUCCAGAGAGAGAAGACAUGGAGCAAAACCUCUGGACAACAUGUACAGGACAUGCAGUGUGAGAUUAAAUACAUACAUACAUACAUACUUAUUAUGAGGUGCCCAGAUUUUGGAAUCAUUAGCAUGCCCUAACAUAUCCUGCCUGAUAUACACCAAUGUAGAGAGGGCGGUAUUUCAGAAUAAAUUUUCCCAGAGCAAUGUUUAUUGUUUAAGCCUCCCCCACCUCCAAAAAAAAAUUAACUAGCCCCAGGAGGGGCA